rnacentral:lncRNA from 1 species
GUUGAUCAUGUUUGUAUUUUAUCCUUUUAAAUCAUUAAAUUUAAAUAUUUUAAAGUAAGUUUAAUUUUAAAUAAAAUAUUUUAAAAUAAUUUUAAAACGAUUACUGACGUUUUCCUGUGUCUGUCAUUUUUAGGAGAGCGGGGCACAGGUUGGGGUGAACACGGACGGCGCCUCGGAGCCUGUGCGGAGGAAGAGCCCGGCCCGCCGGUCCUCCAGCCUCAGCCUCCUGCCGGGCACAUGACCAGUUAAGCGCCUCCUGCUCUGCCAGCCCCUGUCCACUGCGAGAAGAUGCUCCUUCUGCUGGAAGGGAUGGAGCCCAGCAGGAAGGCACCUGGCGGGGAGCCGCAAGGAGCCCGGACAGGUCACAUCCAUCCCGGUCAAGGCUGCGGCCCCCCGGCCCCCAGGGACACGCGCCGAGGCUCCCCGCGGCCGGCGCUGCUCACCCGCAGGGUCUGAAGGGCCAGGGCAGGAAGCGGGGUUGCAACAGCAGCCCAGGGCCUGGCUGGAGGGGCUGGGGUGGCCCUGCCCUCGCCUCCACCCCGUUGGAUCGCUCCCUUCCCACGGGGCGUCUCACCCGUGUCCGCCAGGCGGCCCGUGGGGAGCGCGGUGCCCGGGAGAGUCUCAGGGAGGGGAGGGCGUGGGAGGAGGACAGCUCCCGGCCCAGUGUCCUCCUCCUCCCUGACCUGGAAAAUGGGAACCUGCUGAUGUCCAUACUCUGCAAUCCACUCAGCUUCCGGGUCUAGACUCACAGUCUGUAACCUCUGGGAGGAGGUCCAGGAAUGGAACCAUCCGAGAUGGACUCUCUAAUAUUUUCUGGGAGGAAUCAAGGGACUCCAAUGCUGGAAGCAAGGCCCCUGGAGGACCUCAGGGUGGUGCUGACAGCCCUUUGUGACUCAGGGACUCACCGGUGUCCGCCCAGGCAGUUCCCCUUUCCGUCGGCCUCAGGGAACUGCUCAGGAGAUCUUCUCAUGAGAGGAAUCCCGGCUGCUCCACAGACAGGUGCCAGCGUUCAGACCCUGAGGCUGCCUCUGGCUCCGCAAGUGUGGAUGUGCCCAGGCAGGUCUCAGGACGGAGCCUCGAGAAGCAGGAAAGGCCGUGUGGAUGGAGCCCCUGGGGACGGAGAGGAGGAGGAAGGUGGACUGGGUGGAGCAGAGGAGUCAUCUGAUUCACCGUACAGGACAGCGUCCAGCCUUCACGCCGGGACGUCCUCCAGGGACGCCGUCGGGAGUCACAGGCUUCAGGAAGCAAAACUAAAUCAAGGGACUAAGGAUGAGUGAAGAUAAAAGUGAAAGAGUCGGGAGUUCCUGGGCUACAGGUCAAAUCGGAGCUGCACCUGCCAGCUACACCACAGCCACACCGGAUCUGAGCCACAUCUGCCAACUACACUGCCACUUGCCACAAUGCUGGACCCUUAACCCACUGAGCAAGGCCAGGGAUCAAACCCGCAUCCUCGUGGAUACUAGUCAGAGUCUUAACCGACUGAGCCACAGUGGGAACUGCUACGGAAAUCUUCGUAACAGAAAGAUUGUAGUGAACGAGGGAGCAUCAGUAUUGGGGCCUUAACUGCGACCAGCGCACAUGCUCAUGACGUUAUGUGGGAAAUGGGUGUGGGACCUGUGGGUUUCUCUGUCUUAUCCUCAUAACCUUUCUGUCAACCUGAAAUGAUUCUGACUUUUUAAAAACUCAUGGUUUACCAAAAUCUCUUCCACUCCUGGAUAUAUAUCUGAAUAAAACAAAAUAUUCAGUUGAAAAAGCCA